UCCCCGCCCCCAAGCCAGGACCCUUCUUCAUCCUCCCGUCCAGGCUAAGCCCCCGACAUUGACAUGCCAGAGAUUCGCCUCCGCCACGUCGUGUCCUGCAGCAGCCAGGACUCGACCCACUGUGCAGAGAACCUUCUCAAGGCUGACACUUACCGGAAAUGGCGGGCAGCCAAGGCUGGUGAAAAGACCAUCUCGGUGGUGCUGCAGUUGGAGAAGGAGGAGCAGAUACACAGCGUGGACAUCGGGAAUGAUGGCUCAGCCUUUGUGGAGGUGCUGGUGGGCAGCUCGGCUGGAGGGGCCGGCGAGCAAGACUAUGAGGUCCUUCUGGUAACCUCAUCCUUCAUGUCCCCUUCUGAGAGCCGCAGUGGCGCAAACCCCAACCGUGUUCGCAUUUUUGGGCCUGACAAGUUGGUCCGGGCUGCCGCUGAGAAGCGCUGGGACCGGGUCAAGAUUGUGUGCAGCCAGCCCUACAGCAAGGACUCCCCCUAUGGCCUGAGUUUUAUUCGGCUUCAUAGUCCCCCAGAUAAAGACCAGGCAGAGGCCCCAUCCCAGAAGGUGACCGUGACCAAGCUUGGCCAGUUCCGUGUGAAGGAGGAGGAUGACAGUGCCAGUUCCCUGAGGCCAGGGGCUCUCUUCUUCAGCCGGAUCAACAAGACAUCCCCGGCCACAACUAGUGACCCAGCAGGGCCCAGCUACGCAGCAGCUACCCUCCAAGCCUCUAGUGCGGCCUCCUCAGCCUCCCCAGUUUCCAGGCCUGUCAGCAGCACCUCUAAGCCUCAGGAGUCUCCCAAAGGGAAGAGGAAGUUGGAUUUGAAUCUAGAAGAAAGGAAGAUCCCCAACAAACCAUCAGCCCAGCCCUCACCACCUGCCCUCAAGAGGCCCAAAUUACCAGCUCCUACCCGCACCCCAUCCACGGCCCCCGUUCCUGCCGCAGCUCAGGGGGCAGUGCCAGGGAAGCCCCGGGGAGAAGGCACCAAGGCCAGGGGAGCCCGAGCUGGCCCGCAGGAGCUGGGGAAGAUCCUUCAGGGUGUGGUGGUGGUUCUGAGUGGCUUCCAGAACCCCUUCCGCUCAGAGCUCCGGGACAAGGCUCUGGAGCUGGGUGCCAAGUAUCGUCCAGACUGGACCCCAGACAGCACUCACCUCAUCUGUGCCUUUGCCAACACCCCCAAGUACAGUCAGGUCUUGGGCCUCGGAGGUCGCAUUGUGUGUAAAGAAUGGGUGCUGGAUUGUCACCGCAUGCGUCGGCGGCUGCCCUCCCGAAGGUACCUCAUGGCCGGGCCUGGCUCCAGCAGCGAGGAUGAGGGGGGCUCUCACAGUGGCAGCAGUGAGGAUGAGGCCCCCAAACUUCCUCCAAAGCGCCCCCAGGCCAAAACCAAGACCCCCCAGGGAGCUGGACCCAAUUCACCCCAAAGGCCCCCAACUCCUGAAGAGACCAAAACAGCCUCGCCAGGCCCCCAGGAAGACACCGACGUUGAGGAGGACCAGUCAGGACAAGACAACGGAGCGGAAGAUUCUGGGGACACUGAGGAUGAGCUGAGGAGGGUGGCUGAGCAGAGGGAGCAGAAGCCGGCCCCUGGGCAGGAGGAAAAUGGCGAAGACCCGUAUGCAGGCUCCACAGACGAGAACACUGACAACGAGGAGCACCCGGAGUCUCCUGAGCUGCCGAUCCCGGAACUCCCAGACUUCUUCCAGGGCAAACACUUCUUCCUGUAUGGGGAGUUCCCUGGAGACGAGCGGCGGAAACUCAUCCGAUAUGUCACAGCUUUCAACGGGGAGCUCGAGGACUAUAUGAGCGACCGGGUUCARUUUGUGAUCACGGCACAGGAGUGGGAUCCCAGCUUCGAGGAGGUGAGCCCUGAGAUGAGAAAACUGAAAAAUGCAGAGAAAGAACAAUUUUCAGCCCAGGAUCUCAGAUCUGAGAAGGAUGAAGCCAAGGUUUCUAACUUCUAGGACAUCUGACAGCUGAGCCUACAGAAACCCCAGCGGGCCUUCAAGGGUCAGAUAUGAGUGCCCCGGAGCGGCUCCUUGUCUUCCUGGGUCUCUGACACCUCCCUGCGUCYCCCACCCGGUCUGCAGCUGCACGCCCCGCCCUCCCUCCGCGCUGGCGCCCGCGGCCCCUUUAAGGCAGGCCCCGCCCCGC